AGUGAACGCUGGCGGUAGGCCUAACACAUGCAAGUCGAACGGCAGCACAGUAAGAGCUUGCUCUUACGGGUGGCGAGUGGCGGACGGGUGAGGAAUACAUCGGAAUCUACUUUUUCGUGGGGGAUAACGUAGGGAAACUUACGCUAAUACCGCAUACGACCUACGGGUGAAAGCAGGGGAUCUUCGGACCUUGCGCGAUUGAAUGAGCCGAUGUCGGAUUAGCUAGUUGGCGGGGUAAAGGCCCACCAAGGCGACGAUCCGUAGCUGGUCUGAGAGGAUGAUCAGACACACUGGAACUGAGACACGGUCCAGACUACUACGGGAGGCAGCAGUGGGGAAUAUUGGACAAUGGGCGCAAGCAUGAUCCAGCCAUACCGCGUGGGUGAAGAAGGCCUUCGGGUUGUAAAGCCCUUUUGUUGGGAAAGAAAAGCAGCAGGUUAAUACCCCGCUGUUCCGACGGUACCCAAAGAAUAAGCACCGGCUAACUUCGUG
rnacentral:rRNA from 1 species